rnacentral:rRNA from 1 species
GAGUUUGAUCCUGGCUCAGGAUGAACGCUGGCGGCGUGCCUAAUACAUGCAAGUCGAGCGAACAGACGAGGAGCUUGCUCCUCUGACGUUAGCGGCGGACGGGUGAGUAGCACGUGGAUAACCUACCUAUAAGACUGGGAUAACUUCGGGAAACCGGAGCUAAUACCGGAUAAUAUAUUGAACCGCAUGGUUCAAUAGUGAAAGACGGUUUUGCUGUCACUUAUAGAUGGAUCCGCGCCGCAUUAGCUAGUUGGUAAAGUAACGGCUUACCAAGGCAACGAUGCGUAGCCGACCUGAGAGGGUGAUCGGCCACACUGGAACUGAGACACGGUCCAGACUCCUACGGGAGGCAGCAGUAGGGAAUCUUCCGCAAUGGGCGAAAAGCCUGACGGAGCAACGCCGCGUGAGUGAUGAAGGUCUUCGGAUCGUAAAACUCUGUUAUUAGGGAAGAACAAAUGUGUAAGUAACUAUGCACGUCUUGACGGUACCUAAUCAGAAAGCCACGGCUAACUACGUGCCAG